rnacentral:rRNA from 1 species
CAGCAGCCGCGGUAAUACCGGCGGCCCGAGUGGCGGCCACUAUUAUUGGGCUUAAAGCGUCCGUAGCCGGGUUGGUUAGUCUCCCGGGAAAUCUGGCCGCUUAACGGUCAGAAUUCCGGGAGAUACUGCCAGCCUAGGGACCGGGAGAGGCCGAGGGUAUUCCCGGAGUAGGGGUGAAAUCCUAUAAUCCCGGGAGGACCACCUGUGGCGAAGGCGCUCGGCUGGAACGCGCCCGACGGGGAGGGGCGAAAGCCGGGGGAGCGAACCGGAUUAGAUACCCGGGUAGUCCCGGCUGUAAACGAUGCGGGCUAGCUGUGGGGUGGGCUUAGAGCCCACCCAGUGGCGCAGGGAAGCCGUUAAGCCCGCCGCCUGGGGAGUACGGCCGCAAGGCUGAAACUUAAAGGAAUUGGCGGG